GGGAAGGCUUUAAGGCAUCGGUGGAGGAUACUCCAUUCUGUGAGGAGGGAACCUGACUCUCAGUCAACUUCAGUUCUUUUCUCUUUGACAUGGUACAUUUGGCCACGCUAAAUAUUCACUGUGUUUUCAUUUGUCCUACAUUCAGCCAUGCUGACAUUUUUUUCCAGUAAGACUCUAUAUGUUGCGUGUGGGUACCAGUUGUAGAAACGAACCAAAAAGUUGGAUCACUGUGAUUGAC